rnacentral:tRNA from 1 species
AGGGAGACCUACACCCCUCAAAUCUUGAAAGCAAAAUGCAAAUAGAGAUUGAGAUGGUCAAACCGAGGUCGGUCGCGUCUGCUUGUUUUGAGAGAGCUUUCAAACUAUGAUUUGGUUCGUAAUGGGCUAUUAGCUCAGGUGGUUAGAGCGCACCCCUGAUAAGGGUGAGGUCCCUGGUUCGAGUCCAGGAUGGCCCACCUGAAUCAAUUAAAAAUGUCAAAUUAAAAAUUAAAAAUAAAAGUAACUUCUUGAAAUUUUUAAUUAUCAAUUUUUAAUUUUUAAUUGUUGGGGGGGGUUUAGCUCAGUUGGUAGAGCGCCUGCUUUGCAAGCAGGAUGUCAGCGGUUCGAGUCCGCUAAUCUCCACAUGUAAUAAAUAGAGAAGAGAAAUCAGCAACAUGACGUUGUGAUAGAUGUCAGACUGCUGGGAAAUUCUCAGCCAGAACCUUGAAAACUGCAUAGUAACGCGAAAUUAGCAGGCAGACACAGACAUUCUGUUGAAUGAUUGUGAAUGCAAAGGUGAAACACCAAAUGUAUUGUGUCAAGCUAAUAAAAGAAUG